CCCUAACCACAGCUCCUCAACACUCACCGCUCUCUCACUUGCUCCCCUCCCUCCUUCAGAUCUGCACAACGCUCCCCUUCCCAGGCGCACGGCUGCCAGGCCUCCGUCGCCUUUGCGCUUGCGCGCCUCCUGCUCAUCGCGGAGGAUAUCCUCCCCACCUCGUAGGCCCGCUCCUCUUUGGCAAGGUGUGGUGCCAUGGCUGUGGGCUCCUCAUAUCCACCCAGCAAGAGGCGUCCAUGCACACCAUCAUCAUCGGCUACAGCGGUUGGUGCGCAGGCCGCGCUUAUCCGCCUUCUCGGCGUCGCGCUGCAAGGCGACCCGGCAGGGAGCGGGCCCCUCGACCGGCGCGUGCACGCUCGCUCGCCCGCGCCCUGCUCGUGAGCGCGUGGGCCUGCUCGUUCCUUCCACGCAACCCUGGGGCCUGCUCGCCCUGGUCGGCGGGAGGCGCUGCUGGGCGUGAGCGGCGGGGACGAAGUUGGGGCUGGUGAAUUUAGAAGGUAUGAGCUAUCAUUUUUUGUUGCAUUCACCUGCUACACAGUGUUCCCCCCAAAUGUUUGUCGAAAUGCCAAAACAAACAAGGGCACUUGGGCACACAUUGUUUUGGGCAAGCUACGCCACUAAUGAAGUCUGUUGCUAAGAACUACUUUAAUUCCUGUUAGCAAGUGGCAACAGCUCAAUAGCUGUCAGCGGCUCUUUGUUUUAAUUAAUUUGCAGCUCUUGCUUGUUGUUUAGAACUGUGAGUUGUCCUUUUCAAUCUGCAGUGAUGAAUCAAUGUUUCCUAUUCAGUGAUAUAGCUAAUGCUUGAAAUGUUAGUUCAAUUUUAUUUUGUUGUCUGCUAGCUUUGCUAAUUGACGUUAUGCUUGGGUUGCGUUGAUCUGCUACAACUCUUCAUGUCUGUGUGCCAUUUGUUCAAAGCUUGAGGUUGUUUGGUUGGAGCUUUGUCAGUAGGCUAAUUAGUGAGUUGUUUAAUCACUGCAAUAUCAGCAUCAUGGUUUAGCUCUGUUCUGCAGGUUUGUCAGUUUAGCAUCUGCAGCUAUAGCUCGAUGCAACAGAACUCCUACAAAGUGUUAUUAUCUGUGUGAAAACCAUAUGCUAUGGAAAAAAAUAGUCUCAGCCGGAUUAGUGGUCAGCCGGUGGCAGUAGGCGCAUGCACCGGUGGCAGUAGGUGCGUUGAGUCAGACCUCUAGGUACAACUAGCACCCCCCUGCUUGCUAUGUUUUAGCCGCGUCUUGAAUUUCCAGCACUUGCUAUCUUUGUAGGUUUUCAAUGCAGGAAGUUCUUUACGCAAUAUGACUCCCAAGUUCUUUACUUGCUUUUGUUGUAAGGUUGCAUGUCUUACUAUGCUUAGAUUUACUAGUGUAGAAUUUAUAUUGACAUAGUGUAAUUCGUAUAUGGAUUUUGUGUACAAGGUUAUCAUUCUCAUGUAUUUGCAGGGCCUAUUUCAGUGAUCUGAUAUAUCUUGUCCACUUUUUUAUGUUUAAUAUUUUCACAUGUUAAUUAUGCUUUAUACCUCAGUUGUUCUCCAUUGAAAAAAAAGCACUGUAAGAUUGAUUUCUAUGACCAACUAGUGCACUGAUUUUUAUAUGUAUUAUGUUAGAUUACCAUUAAGAUUGCUUUCCAUGACUUCUCUGCCUCUGUUUUCAAUUAGCUGCUAGCUGUUUGCCACAAUUCAAACCUUUCCUAAUAUAGCACUGUAGUUCUAGUUAUUCUUUUCCACGCCAACAAAAUUGUGGAUAAAUGUACAGCUAUGUCUUAGCUGUGUGUGUGUGCUUGUUUGAUAUCUCAUAUUUGUCUCUUUGAGUUCAUAUGUCCUGCAUUUUUAUUUGAUUUUGUUUCCUGCAUUUUGAUUCCCUACAAUUCUCAAAAGUUAACUAUGCAUUGACAUUAAUUUCUGCAGGUGAUUUAAAAGGUUAAAGAAUUGGCGGUUAGAAUAGAAGAGAAGUCUCGCAGAGAAGAAACCAUUGUAGCCAAAUGUGCUGCCACAACACUCAUCAAAACUGAUAGGUGGUGAAAAAGAAUUCUUUACUUAGUUGCUGCUGUUGGUUCAUACUCUUGGUGAAACCAAUCUUUUGUUUUUUUUCUGGUCCAUUUUGUUGUCUUUGGUCCUGCAAUGUUAUAUUGCUAGUUCUGAUUCAUGGAAAGCACUCUAUGUGAUCCAUUAUUCUGAUGUCAUGACGCUGGAUGCAAAUAUUAUUGAUAUGAGAUUAUAAUUUGGGUUGUAAUUGCUUAUUGUGA